UUCCCGUGUCUAUAGUUUAGAAGGAACACGUGUUGUGUAGACAGUUCAUAACCUCGCGGUAUAUUUGUUUAUAUCAUGUUUGUAUACUUGCCAGUGAGACAGACUUUUUUCCUGUGACUAUACUAAAGUGAUACACUGUCAUAAAUGUGUGCCUUUCUCUCGGACAUGGCGUGAAAUAAACCAGAUUUAAGCCUAGUCGUACCUCCCGCAACCCGAGGCGUUCAGCUGGUCACGUGUCGAUCGAGCGCCAGGCAGGUCGCGGGAUCGUGUUGAAAUGGACACAAAUGGGGUCACGCUGCCAGCACGCAGGGUGAGUCAACAAAUGUUCCUGGCCGUGAUUUAGUGUGCCUGCGUUACGUAUCAGCGGAGUGAAUGUGACACCUCUGCUUUCCCUCCAGCCUACGUACAGUCGUGGCCUAAAUUCAAGUAAUAUUCUGACCUUA